CUUAAGAUGGCUGACAUAAGCAACAGCUUUUUAAUCUGUAUAUAACAUAAAUGUUUCUUAAGG
rnacentral:tRNA from 1 species